rnacentral:rRNA from 1 species
CCUACGGGUGACAGCAGUGAGGAAUAUUGGUCAAUGGGCUAAGGCCUGAACCAGCCAUGCCGCGUGCAGGAAGACGGCUCUAUGAGUUGUAAACUGCUUUUGUACGAGGGUAAAUCCCGAUACGUGUAUCGGGUUGAAAGUAUCGUACGAAUAAGGAUCGGCUAACUCCGUGCCAGCAGCCGCGGUAAUACGGAGGAUUCAAGCGUUAUCCGGAUUUAUUGGGUUUAAAGGGUGCGUAGGCGGUUCGAUAAGUUAGAGGUGAAAUCCCGGGGCUCAACUCCGGCACUGCCUCUGAUACUGUCGGGCUAGAGUUUAGUUGCGGUAGGCGGAAUGUAUGGUGUAGCGGUGAAAUGCAUAGAGAUCAUACAGAACACCGAUUGCGAAGGCAGCUUACUAAACUACGACUGACGUUGAGGCACGAAAGCGUGGGGAGCAAACAGGAUUAGAUACCCUUGUAGUC